CUUGGUGAAGAGUGCCAUCGUUCAGGUUGAUGCAGCACCAUUCAAACAGUGGUAUCUUCAGCAUUAUGGAGUGGAUAUUGGACGGAAGAAGAAGACCUCAGCAUCUGCCAAGAAGGAAGAGGAAGGUGAUGCUCCCAGUGAGGAGGUGAAGAAGAGUAACCAUGUCCAACGCAAGCUGGAGAAACGUCAGCAGGAUCGUAAACUUGACCCUCAUAUUGAAGAACAAUUCAGCAGUGGUCGUUUGAUGGCUUGUAUUUCAUCAAGGCCAGGCCAAUGUGGUCGAGCAGAUGGAUAUAUCUUGGAGGGCAAAGAACUU
rnacentral:misc_RNA from 1 species